UAAUUGAAGAGUUUGAUCAUGGCUCAGAUUGAACGCUGGCGGCAGGCCUAACACAUGCAAGUCGAGCGGUAACAGGGGAAGCUUGCUUCUCGCUGACGAGCGGCGGACGGGUGAGUAAUGUAUGGGGAUCUGCCCGAUAGAGGGGGAUAACCACUGGAAAUGGUGGCUAAUACCGCAUAAUCUCUUAGGAGCAAAGCAGGGGAGCUUCGGUCCUUGCGCUAUCGGAUGAACCCAUAUGGGAUUAGCUAGUAGGUGGGGUAAUGGCUCACCUAGGCGACGAUCCCUAGCUGGUCUGAGAGGAUGAUCAGCCACACUGGGACUGAGACACGGCCCAGACUCCUACGGGAGGCAGCAGUGGGGAAUAUUGCACAAUGGGCGCAAGCCUGAUGCAGCCAUGCCGCGUGUAUGAAGAAGGCC
rnacentral:rRNA from 1 species